GGCGGCCGGAGGCCCGAGGCACGAGGAGGCUGGCGCCGCCCGGGGCCGGGCGCCCUGUCCUCGCCAAGGUUCAGGCGGUGCCGCGUGUUUUCCUUUGAUCGUUAUCAUGAGCAUGAUGUCAGGAAGAUCCCGCAGCUUUGAGGCGUCAUCUGACUCCAGGGAAAAAGAAAAGUCAAGAAGCCGGUCAGCCCUCCGCAGCCGUCGGCUCCUCGCUGGCUAUCCCCGCGGCGCUAGCUGCUCAAAGGACCCCCGCCCAGCAGGGGCCGUGCCAUCUCGGGCGGCUGUCCCCCGGCCACACCGGCUGCUUGCCCUGCACAGCCUCUGUGGGGCCCGCAGGGCUGUGGGGGACGGGAUGCUUAUCCCGCCGACUGCGCGGAGAACAAAAGCAACGUAGGGCUUGGCGCGUGUGAGCCCUGGCCCAGAAGAUGAAGGAAGACCCAGGUUCUCCUCUUCUCUUCACUGCUUAUUAGGAGGAAAAAACCCCAGAUGCCAAUGUGCCUGCCUCAUCAGCUGGGGCCGUGUUAUCCUCCUGCAGGGAUGGGCUCCUGAAUGCAAGCUUUGUCUGGCCUGCCUGUUAGUCACUGUGACAAAAGAGACCCAGGGAGACUGGAGCCCGACGUUGGAUUCUUUGGCCAGGACGUCACGUCGUGGAGGCCAGGCCGCAGCGUGCAAGCAAAGCCCGGUUCCAGGACCUCUGAGCUCUCCUGCGUGCAUUGGGACCAGCAGAAGUCACCCGAGGUGUCCCCACUCAACCCCACCCGUGAGCGCAUACUUUGACCUCCAUCCCCUCCCACCCGGGCCCCAUGGCCCCCUCAUCUCCCCGUCCCCUCUGCCCGGAAGGCCCCUGAGGGCAGGAAGCGUGGCUGCCUCCCUCCUGGGUCCCCUGCAGGCCCCCAGCACACACUCUAGGGCUUACCAAGUGCUUCCAGCAGAUGUGCUCCCUUGUCGGCUUCCCUUGAGCUCUGUAUCCUGGGAUUCUCUUUUCCACAGCUGGCCCGGGGUCAGCCCAUGUCACUGGAAACGUAUCAGUCCCUGAAAUAUUCACACAAACACCUGUCAGGAGCCCAGCUUCCCCCGUGGGCAGGAUGGGUCACAACAAGCCCACGCCAGAGCUACUUGAUGUCAUGGGGAGUCCCGGCUUGCUGCCUCCUCCGUUUCAGGCCAGGCCACGGAGCAGCAGGGUCCCCGCGACUGCAGCUCGGGGGCACACAGCUGGGAGGGCAGCAGCUGGGGUUUGACCCUGGAGCCUCGGGAUCCUGUUGCAGGGGCUUACUGGGGCCUUCUCUAUUCCCCCUGUGCUGACCUCUUUGCGGGCUUCCCUGUGCAGUGAGGGCCGGUAGGAGCUCUUCACAGGAAAAUCUUCAUGCCGAAGGGCUCAGUUGAUGUCUUGGGAGCUUGCCAGGGACUGAAAUGCAGCCAGUCUUUCUAAAGGUUCCUCCUGGCCCUGCGAGUAUGUGCAUAUAUACACCAUACACCCGAACUCUGUGUGAUACACACACACUCACACACACACACACGCACGCGCAGGCUUUGGCCAAGUGUGAGGGUCUCCAUGUUAUGAAGGGAAUAAGUAAACAAACUCAACAUUUCUAUUUCCCUCUGAGGCUUGCAAAGAAGGUGUUAAGAGCACAAGAUUUAAAUCAUAAACUUUAUUAAAAGCCAAACAGCCCAGUGUGUGACUCUUGCCAACUCGGACAGAGUCUUUGGGGUAAAGCUACACUGAGCUAAUCCAGAAGGAAUCAAGUGGAGGAAGACAGCGGGUGGGAGGGAGCCAAGGCAUCCAACCUAUGGAAGGUGGAGUGGGGGCAGCUGCGCUUGGAUUCAGCCGCCCACCCCGGCUGGGCCAGGAGGAUGGGGCAGGAGCCCAGGUAAAGCCUUCAAAGUAUUGAAUCGUGUUUUCUAACUUUCUUCAUUCUAUUCCCUUAACAAAUGGAGCCUCUUUAUACCUGAAGGACUCCUGGCAAGGCAGGGGGAGCAUGUACUCCAGCCAGUCUCAGAACAGGCCAAAGUUGCUAGGUGAGUAGCAUUUGAGAGACGAGCAAGAGAGGAACGCCCCAGCUGCUCCCCGACCAGGCUCGUCUCCACCCAACCUGAGGCAGCUUUCCUCCUCCAAAGAUUAGUUGCCUCUUUACCGGGGGCAGGGACCAUGGCCACAAGACACAGAAAGAUGAAUAAGAUCGCGGCUUGCAAGGAGUUCUAAAUCCAGUUAGGGAAUCAGAACAAAGACACGAAUCAACAGUAAGCACUGUAAUUCAGGACAGGAUCAGAGUGGAGGGGGCCAAGCAGAGGAGCUUUUCCUGGGGAGAGGGAACCACUCUUACCUCCAACCCAAAUUUGGCCCCAAGAUGUCUUCCCAAAAUGGCUCUGCCAGACUCAAGCUCUUCACUAACCCUCAGCCUGGCUCCUGUUCUCCAUCUGUCUCAUCUCCUGAGGACAUUUCAGCACCACUAGAGUCGCUUGGGAUGUUGUGUCAUUGAACUUGAAGAGUCCCACCUCCACUCUCUGACACAAGCUGGCCAAGGACAAGAGCCCGUCUCUGCAGAGCCCCUGGGAUAGCAGCCAUCCCAUUCCACACAUGACAGAAGCCCUCCAUCCCUGAGCUGGCCCCAGGAGGCUCCCGGACCUGAGGGGGCCAGUGAGGACCCACAGACAACAAUGGGGCCAGGAGGAAGGGAUGCAGCCUUGGUUAACGGACACGGGACCCUGCUGGUCUUUUUCCCACCAGUUAGACUUCGCAGGCAGUAUGGCUUCAGGAGACCCACGUGUCUUAACAAAGUAUUGGUUUUAUCGUAAGGUGUUAAAGAUCAUUGGGUGCCUGGCUGGCUCAGCUGAUAGAGCACAAGACUCUUGAUGGGGUCAUGAGUUUGAGCCCACAUUGGGUAAGAGGUUAGUACGAUAAUAAAAUAAAAUGCAUUUUUUUUUUUUUUAAAAAUCAUCAGCACAGCUUGGGACUGGCCACAGCAUUCUUCCAAAUCUCCUCCAUGUAAUCUCCUGGGAGUACCGAGGGCCUUUGCCCAGAAUCUCUGCAACCUUCAAAGAUCUGGGGCGUGGGGGCGGGUCUGGCAGGACUUACUAAUCCCCUUGGAACAAUUUCCUAUAUAUGUGUGUAUGUAGGUGUCUCUGUAAAUAGCGAUUAAAUAUUCUUGCCUGGA